rnacentral:lncRNA from 1 species
CUUUUUUUUUUGCUUUUUGUUCCUAGAUUUUCCGCAUUUUCUGUUCAACAGAGAUUCUUUUAAUUAUUCAAGGUUUUGAGUAUUGUUAAUUUGUCUUCUCACUAAGAGAGCUCAGAUUCCUUUCUCCAGCUGAUUGCCAGCAGCUAUGUCUGCUCCAACUCCUAUCUCAGCUAUAGUUCAUUCAUCAACAUUAGUUACUGCAGGAAUCUUAGUGUUUUUCAAACUGAGGUGGUAUCUGUUUGACUCUUCGUUCGGUGUUCUAUUGGGGGCCUUAUCUUGCGUCACUUUCUUAAUAGGCGGUUUAAUAGGGAUUGUAGAAAAAGAUCUAAAGAAAAUUGUAGCUUUUUCUACUAUAAGGCAAAUUAGUAUAAUUAUCUUCUUUAUCAGCAUAACUUUGCUGAGCAUGGGAUACGCCCACACUUUUUGUCAUGCCCUUUUCAAAACCCUUCUCUUUUGCGGCUGCGGAGUUUUAUUCACCUGAUCCUUUAGGAAUCAGAUAAUUAAAGGCAUUAAAGUGGAUGCAAAAACUUCAUCCAUUAGAUUCUUUAUGGUUUCUGCCCUUUUUGGAAUAAGAGGUUUGAUUUACUCUUCUUCCUUUUUUACGAAGGAUAUUGUCCUAGAGAAGGCGUGUGCAGAUAGGAGGCUUUUUCUGCUUCUGAUACUUUUGACGGGUAGAGUUUUAACCUUGCUCUAUAGAUCUUCUCUGAUAGAAGGGUUGGUGAGCGUUCCUUCAGCAUUCAGUCCUAUUAGAAGGAUUAAAUCCUACUUCUUUUUGCUUAUUUUAUUAUUUAGAUCCUUCUCAUUAAUCGUCUUUAAAAUCCUUAAAAUUUUACUUUGUGAUAACCUUGUUAUUUUCAACCCAUCAGUUAUAACUGGUUUGUUUCUAGUUUUAUUUAUCCUAAUUUUGCUUUUCUUUCCAAAAUUCAGAGCUAAUUUACUUUUAAAAUCAAGGCCCAAUGUUUUCAAUAUAAAAGAUCUUUAUUUCUCGAGAAUAACUUUAUUCUCUAACCCAAACUUCUCUUUAUCCCUCUCUGUUAGGGACCACUACAUAUUUAAACCAGGCUCUUUAAUUCAGACGAUAAGUUCUAGUUUUAAAUAUUCAGGCCUUAAAUUUUUAUUUUUUUCAAUUCUCAUCAUCUUUUUGAUCUAACCUUUUUAGUUUAAAAAGAACGUGNNNNNNNNNNNNNNNNNNNNNNNNNNNNNNNGAUCUUUAUUUCUCGAGAAUAACUUUAUUCUCUAACCCAAACUUCUCUUUAUCUCUCUCUGUUAGGGACCAUUACAUAUUUAAACCAGGCUCUUUAAUUCAGACGAUAAGUUCUAGUUUCAAAUACUCAGGCCUUAAAUUUUUAUUUUUUUCAAUUCUCA